UACAGAGGGGGCAAGCGUUGUUCGGAAUUACUGGGCGUAAAGGGCGCGUAGGCGGCCUGUUAAGUCGAACGUGAAAUCCCCGGGCUCAACCCGGGAACUGCGUCCGAAACUGGCAGGCUCGAAUCCGGGAGAGGGAUGCGGAAUUCCAGGUGUAGCGGUGAAAUGCGUAGAGAUCGGGAGGAACAUCUGUGGCGAAGGCGACUGCCUGGACCAGCACUGACACUGAGGCACGAAAGCGUGGGGAGCAAACAGG
rnacentral:rRNA from 1 species